UACGAAUGAACCUAUACCUGGAUGGUUUGUGUUCCAAAUGAUUUAUCGCCGUAGGAUGGGACUGCGGCCUAUCAGUUUGUUGGUGAGGUAAUGGCCCACCAAGACUAUUACAGGUACGGGCUCUGAGAGGAGUGGCCCGGAGAUGGGUACUGAGACACGGACCCAGGCCCUAUGGGGCGCAGCAGGCGAGAAAACUUUGCAAUGUGCGAAAGCACGACAAGGUUAAUCCGAGUGGUUUGUGCUAAACGAACCUUUUGUCGGUCCUAGAAACACCGAUGAAUAAGGGGUGGGCAAGUUCUGGUGUCAGCCGCCGCGGUAAAACCAGCACCUCAAGUGGUCAGGAUGAUUAUUGGGCCUAAAGCAUCCGUAGCCGGCUCUGUAAGUUUUCGGUUAAAUCUGUACGCUCAACGUACAGGCUGCCGGGAAUACUGCAGAGCUAGGGAGUGGGAGAGGUAGACGGUACUCGGUAGGAAGGGGUAAAAUCCUUUGAUCUAUUGAUGACCACCUGUGGCGAAGGCGGUCUACCAGAACACGUCCGACGGUGAGGGAUGAAAGCUGGGGGAGCAAACCGGAUUAGAUACCCGGGUAGUCCCAGCUGUAAACUAUGCAAACUCAGUGAUGCAUUGGCUUGUGGCCAAUGCAGUGCUGCA
rnacentral:rRNA from 1 species